rnacentral:lncRNA from 1 species
UUUAAAGCAUUGUCCUUUUUUUUGGAUUUGCCAAAACUUAUUUGUCUUUUGCUGUUAAUAAUAAAGUUUACAUGGACAGUUAUAAUUAAAAUCAAAUUCCGAUUGAAGCAAAGGAAAAAUGGUCAGGGUUUUAUUUGGAUGCAAACAGACAAAACAAAAUCUGGUAAUGAAUAUAUCUACAAGUACGUGGCUUCACUUUUGAAUAGUAAACAAAAAGAAUUACGAUGUGAUGACAAUAAGUUAACAAAGUUUAAAUUUAAAUGGGUGUUUGAUGAUAACAAAUCAGGUUUCAAGUUUUCUCUGAGAAUUAUAUCAUCAACAUUCAUUUCUUGUUUGGCUGUUUAUA